GAUUAUGGCUCAGGAUGAACGCUAGCGGCAGGCUUAACACAUGCAAGUCGAGGGGCAGCGGGAUGUAGCAAUACAUUGCCGGCGACCGGCGGAUGGGUGCGUAACGCGUAUGCAACCUACCUUAUACAGGGGAAUAACCUUUCGAAAGGGAGACUAACACCCCAUAGUAUUGAUUUAAGGCAUCUUAGAUUAAUUAAAUAUUUAUAGGUAUAAGAUGGGCAUGCGUAUGAUUAGCUAGUUGGUAAGGUAACGGCUUACCAAGGCGACGAUCAUUAGGGGUUCUGAGAGGAAGGUCCCCCACACUGGUACUGAGACACGGACCAGACUCCUACGGGAGGCAGCAGUGAGGAAUAUUGGUCAAUGGGCGCAAGCCUGAACCAGCCAUGCCGCGUGCAAGGAAGACGGCCUUAUGGGUUGUAAACUGCUUUUACAUAAGACUAACCGUAUAUUUGCGAAUAUACCUGAAUGUAUUAUGAGAAUAAGGAUCGGCUAACUCCGUGCCAGCCGCGGC
rnacentral:rRNA from 1 species